AGACUCUACACUCUUCAGAGUAGGGGUGAAGGCACGUCAGCGACCAGACAAGGAGUCAUGAAGAGACAGCGGGGAGCCCUGCUGGGGCUUCUGUGGCUGCAGGUUUGCUGGGUGAGAGGGAUGGACGUGGAGCAGACACCUGCAGCCCUGAGCCUCCAGGAGGGAGCCAGCUCUACCCUGAGGUGCAAUUUUUCCAGCUCGGUGACCUACGUGCAGUGGUUCCGACAGAACCCCGGGGGCGGCGGCCUCACCCGCCUUUUUUACAUCGCUUCAGGGAUGAAGCAGGAUGGGAGGUUGAACUGCACGGUGAACACUAAGGACCGGCACAGCAGCCUGCACAUCAGGGCCUCCCAGCAGGAAGACUCAGCCACCUAUCUGUGUGCUGUGGAGGCACAGUGCUCCCUGCUGCUCUGCAGCCUGUCCCCAAACUGCAGCUGGGCUCCCAGCCCAGCCUCCUCCACCAGGAAGCCUUCCUGUCUCAGUUUCAUUUGCACAGCCUUAUGUUUCGUUAUUCAUUUCGUCAGUCUUUUAAUUCUGUCUAUAAUUAUAAACUUGUAA